UACGGGGGGGGCAAGCGUUGUUCGGAAUUACUGGGCGUAAAGGGCUCGUAGGCGGCCAACUAAGUCGGACGUGAAAUCCCACGGCUCAACCGUGGAAGUGCAUUCGAAACUGCGAGGCUAGAGUCCUGGAGAGGAAGGUGGAAUGCUUGGUGUAGAGGUGAAAUUCGUAGAUAUCAAGCGGAACACCGGUGGCGAAGGCGGCCUUCUGGACAGUGACUGACGCUGAGACGCGAAAGCGUGGGGAGCAAACAGG
rnacentral:rRNA from 1 species